CACGUAGGGGCGAGCGUUGUCCGGAAUUACUGGGCGUAAAGGGCGCGCAGGCGGUUACGUUAGUCUGCUGUGAAAAGCAUCGGCUUAACCGGUGUCUUGCGGCGGAUACUGCAUAGCUUGAGUACUGGAGAGGGAAGUGGAAUUCCCUGUGUAGCGGUGAAAUGCGUAGAUAUCGGGAGGAACACCGGUGGCGAAGGCGGCUUUCUGGCCAGUUACUGACGCUCAUGCGCGAGAGCUGGGUUAGCGAACCGGAUUAGAUACCCGGGUAGU
rnacentral:rRNA from 1 species